GGACGAAGAUUGGCUGAUCCAAGCUGUCGCUCACUCGGAUAUCGGGCUCUGGGGUGACUGAUGAGAAACCAAAGAACUAAAAGUGAGAUCAAAACGAUAAUGAAAAAUAAUACCACAGGAUGUUUCACCUUUUGAAGAAAGAGCAGGAUUCUUCAAGAAGCCAUGAGAUGAAUGACG